rnacentral:tRNA from 1 species
UGCGUGGUGGAGCAGAGGCCAGCUCGUCGGGCUCAUAACCCGAAGGUCGUCGGUUCGUAUCCGGCCCUCGCAUCCA